rnacentral:rRNA from 1 species
AUUGAACGCUGGCGGAAUGCUUUACACAUGCAAGUCGAACGGCAGCACGGACUUCGGUCUGGUGGCGAGUGGCGAACGGGUGAGUAAUGUAUCGGCACGUGCCCAGUCGUGGGGGAACACGUAGUGAAAAUUACGCUAAUACCGCAUACGAUCUAUGGAUGAAAGGGGGGGAUCGCAAGACCCCGCGGGCUUGGAGCGGCCGUUAUCGGAUUAGGUAGGUGGUGGGGGAAAGGCCCACCAAGCCAACGAUCUGUAGCUGGUCUGAGAGGACGACCAGCCACACUGGAACUGAGACACGGUCCAGACUCCUACGGGAGGCAGCAGUGGGGAAUUUUGGACAAUGGGCGAAAGCCUGAUCCAGCCAUUCCGCGUGCAGGAUGAAGGCCCUCGGGUUGUAAACUGCUUUUGUACAGAACGAAAAGGUUUCUACUAAUACUAGGAGCUCAUGACGGUACUGUAAGAAUAAGCACCGGCUAACUACGUGCCAGCAGCCGCCGUAA